rnacentral:rRNA from 1 species
CCUACGGGGCGCUGCAGUGAGGAAUAUUGGUCAAUGGACGAGAGUCUGAACCAGCCAAGUAGCGUGAAGGAUGACUGCCCUAUGGGUUGUAAACUUCUUUUAUAUGGGAAUAAACUGUUCCACGUGUGGGAUUUUGUAUGUACCAUAUGAAUAAGGAUCGGCUAACUCCGUGCCAGCAGCCGCGGUAAUACGGAGGAUCCGAGCGUUAUCCGGAUUUAUUGGGUUUAAAGGGAGCGUAGGUGGAUUGUUAAGUCAGUUGUGAAAGUUUGCGGCUCAACCGUAAAAUUGCAGUUGAAACUGGCAGUCUUGAGUACAGUAGAGGUGGGCGGAAUUCGUGGUGUAGCGGUGAAAUGCUUAGAUAUCACGAAGAACUCCGAUUGCGAAGGCAGUUCACUGGACUGCAACUGACACUGAGGCUCGAAAGUGUGGGUAUCAAACAGGAUUAGAUACCCCAGUAGUC